ensembl:lncRNA
CUCAUUUUUUUGGAUGUGGGUCACUGCUGCUGUUAGGCUGAAUGAACUCGGUCAGCCUUUUUGGGACCAACGUCACAGACUUGCAGUGCUGCAACUUUGCGGGUCUUCAUUGUCCUGGACGUCUUCCCGUUGGUCUUAGUUGAAAUUGCUGAAUAUUAUGCUGGUGAAAUUCUAGCUUACAGUUAAACAGAUAAAACAGUGUCACAUCAAGAUCUAUAAAUAUACCCUUGUCUGAGCACAUAACAAUGAGUAAGUCUGCAAGUGACAGUUCAGAUCUGGUUUCCUUCCACCACCGUGGGAAAAGGAAGCUGCUCCUGUGCUUGGGCAGCCGUGAUUGCUUCCUGCAUCUGUGUGAUGGAGCAGGGCCAGCCAGCCCCUCCUCGGCCCUGCAGCACGACAUGGCUGCGGUGCCAGGGGCUUCACGCCCUGCCAGCCCCUGCUCCAGGCUUCUGCAGAAUUCAAAAUGGGGCAGGGAAGGAGGACGAACUCUUGCAAACUGCUGGGGAGGUGUGUCCAGGAGGUUAGUCCUCCUAGGUCCUGAUACAAGCUCAGGCAAAGCAUCUCCACAGCCUUGGGGGGGGGCUUUUGCAGGCCUCUGUGGCCUUUGCAAGGGUGUCUGCCGGAACAUGACCUGGGUAUUUGUGAAACUGUGAGGGCAUAGUAGUAUUAAAAACAGCAUGAGUCUUGUUUCUUCUUUCUAGGAAAAAAAAACCCAAUCCACUUUGACGCAAGAAUAAAAACGUUUCAAGGCAGAAUAUCUGUUUUAUGUGAAUCCUUGUGGAGAACUCCCAGCGUUAACUAAUGAGCCAAGACUGGAACCAUUAACACGAGCAGGACUUCUGUCAUUUACUUCAGGCUGAGCAGGUUUUGAUAUACGUCAUAAUUACCAUAAUUUUCUUUAACCAUCCAAACAGUGAAAGUGCUGUGCAGCCCACACAGUUAGGUUCUUGUUUUCUGUGAGCAAAGCAGCUCCUGCUUAUUUUAUUGGUAGCUGCAGCUGGGUAGGAAGCAUUUUGAGCAGUUGGACUUCACUAAAACAGAAAAGAACAAUGGAUUUUGGGCCCACAAAGAAUAUUCAGUGUUGGUUUGCUUUUUUUUCCCCCUUCUCUUAGAAGUAAAACCAUUGUAUGUUGUUAUUAUUAUUUUUUUCUUCUCAGGGUUAUUUCUUGUCAGUUCACAUUCCACAACUAACAGAGAAGAUAUUAUGUUAUACGUGUGGCUGUGAUAUUGGAGAGUGGCGAUACACAUUACAGCCUGGGAUUCUAUAUUUCAUUGUCUCUCACCAAUACCAGGUUAGAUCUGCACAGAUUGGAAGUAAAAAUAUUGUAACGAACUUUGAAAACAGUCUUGUAAUUACCAGCUCCACAAAC